ensembl:snRNA U6 U6 spliceosomal RNA
GUACUUACUUCGGCAGCACAUAUACUAAAAUCGGAAUGAUACAGAGAAGACUAACAUGGUCCCUGGGCAAGGAUGACAUACAAAUUUAUGAAGUGUUCCAUAUUAGA